rnacentral:lncRNA from 1 species
AAUCUGUAGAUGUAUCACAUUACAAUUAUCCUUCUUUGAAAUCUCAAUGUGAACUGUGAAGUAAUGUUGUUUGAUAUCUAUCUGCAAUUAGCAUCUGAGAUUAAUACUCAUGUAGUGAAUCUGUAGGUGUAUCACAUUAGAAUUAUCCUUCUUUGAGAUCUCAAUGUGAACUGUGAAGUAAUGCUGUUUGAUAUCUAUCUGCAAUUAGCAUCUGAGAUUAAUACUCAUGUAGUGAAUCUGUAGAUGUAUCAGAUUAGAAUUAUCCUUCUUUGAAAUCUCAAUGUGAACUGUGAAGCAAUGUUGUUUGAUAUCUAUCUGCAAUUAGCAUCUAAGAUUAAUACUCAUGCGAUGAUGAGAGUACUAGCCGACGACUACAUGGAGAACACGCUAUUGCUACCAGGUGGAAAUGGCAUUGACAUUUACCUG